rnacentral:misc_RNA from 1 species
UUUUUUUGUUACGUUUCAAAAGUCGAACUGGCAACGGUAGCCCCAGUCUUACUUUUUUUUCAGUUCUGCUAGAGUCUCCAUGCUUUUAACAAGUGUCUGCAUUUCGUCAUUAAAAAUCUAAAGAAAAUCUCGAGCCUUUACCUGCAGAAAAAUUCCCUGCAUAGGUAUAGUAUUUGAAAUUACAAGUCUACCUCACAGUAAAUUUACCUCUUGUGUUCUUCAGUCGUUUGUUACCUACAACAUGGAUUCAUCAGCUAAAAAUGAACAGAUUUUACAGUAUGUUUUCAGAAAAUGAACUUCGUUUAGCAGCCAUUUGCAACCCAAUUAUUUUGGCUUGAUAAUGAUGACGAGAUUUGUCGUGGAAAAACAUUGCUAAAAGGAGAAUUUAAACGUUUCCAGGGCAUCCUGGACAAGUCUGACACAUCGGAAAAAUCGAGUUACGGAACGUCCUCGAGCGAGAGUCCUCAGAAAAUAAAGAAAUGUGAAAAGAAUUUUUUUUCCUUUAUUUCCAAAAGAAACGUUAAAUCUCAGACACAUGAUGAAGUAGAUUUGUUUUUGAAACUAUGUACAAACUUGGAGCAGUUGAUGAAUUUUGAACCAUUAAAAAAUUUUACAAGUAAGUAAAUUACUUUGUUAACGACAUUACCAGUUAUGUGUAUUUGACAACUGCAGAAGAUACAACGUCACCUUAUCAUCGUCAGCAGCUGUUGAGUGGCUCUUUAGCCAAGGAGGACUUAUUUUUACCCCAAGAAGAUUGAGCCUAACUGACAGCAACUUUGAAAUGUUACAAUUUUUUUAAUUCAACGGUACUCUAUGUAACCAAUGGUAACAAAACGUAACUUUUUUAUUAACAAUUGACCAACUGUGAUUUAACAACUGUGCUUAUGACACAAUUAUUUAACUCAUAAUUGACGGCA